GAGAAAGGGAGAGAGAGAGAGAGAGAGAGAAAGAGAGAGAGAGAACGUAAUAUUGAAGUCUCGUGACUACUUACAAAAAAGGUUAUUUACUUUCUUUUAUUUUUUAUUUUUUUUUUUUUUUUAUUUUUUUUUGUUCAUAAAAAAGGAAAAAUUAAUUUUCUUGUAAGAAUGAGAACCACGUUCUUUAUCGUUGAUAAUAAUGAGAACCCAUGUUUCUUUGAUUAAAGUAGUACUAUCUCUUUCUCUUUCUAAUGGUAGAAAUCAGUGACGUCAUAAUUAAGAAGCAAGUUUUCCAAAUUUUUAAAUAAAUACAUGCAUAAUGUAAUAUAUAUACGCGCGUGCUCCCAACAAACACUCACACACACACACACCCGCGCGCGCAUACAAACAUACAACACGUACACACAUACAUACAUACAUACUUAUGUAUAUAUAUAUAUAUAUAUAAAAAUAAAGGUGCAUAUAUCCUUUUUGUCGGGGGAGAGGGACUAGCAAGAAGUCUAUUUGAUAUUUAUAUUUUAAUAUACACACAUGGACCGACCGAUUGUAUUUAGCGAACAUAUAAUAAUAAUAAUAAUAGUAAUUAUUAUUAUUAUUAUUAUUAUUAUUAUUAUUAUUAUUAUUAUUAUUAUUAUAUUGUAAUUAACGAUGUGCUCUAAUUAAUAAGUUGAUCGAUAUAUCGAUAUUAUCGUUUCGCAAUCUAUUUCUCCGGUACCAUCACAUCACAUCUAUUAAGAAUAUCGUUUUGCAGAUUAUAAGAUUUCGAUAAUAUAAAUUUAAAAAAAGUUAAAUUGAUCAUUAACGUAUCGAAAAAAUUGUUGAGAAAGUAUAAGAAUAAAAAAUAAAUAAAUAAACAAGUGGCCGGACGCGUUAGAUUGCGAAACGAUUUCGUAUGAUUCGAUGGAAAAUGAGGGAGACAAAUUGUUGUUUUGUCACGACCGUAUGUGACGUAUUGAUUAUCGAUCGACAGUGUAAUGAUAACAAAAA